UACGUAGGUGGCGAGCGUUAUCCGGAAUUAUUGGGCGUAAAGAGCGCGCAGGUGGUUGAUUAAGUCUGAUGUGAAAGCCCACGGCUUAACCGUGGAGGGUCAUUGGAAACUGGUCGACUUGAGUGCAGAAGAGGGAAGUGGAAUUCCAUGUGUAGCGGUGAAAUGCGUAGAGAUAUGGAGGAACACCAGUGGCGAAGGCGGCUUCCUGGUCUGUAACCGACACUGAGGCGCGAAAGCGUGGGGAGCAAACAGGAUUAGAUACCCU
rnacentral:rRNA from 1 species